GAUUAAACAGGUCAGAUUAAAUGGGUCAGAAAUAGGUUAAACAAAUUAAAUAAAUUAAUUGACUCAAUCUGAUCUGAAUAUUAAAUAGGUUAAAUGGGUUAAACGGGUCAGAUAUCUAAAAUCCAAUCCAAUUAUUAAACAUGUUAAACGGAUCGAUCCAUUUAUGACCCAAACCUGUUUAGUCUAAAUCUAAAUCUAUUUAUGAC
rnacentral:lncRNA from 1 species